GCUCCAUAGGUAUAGAAAUAUGGUAAGCUAUGCGACUUGGUUUUGUGGUCAUCGCGCGGUUACCCUGUGGUGUCACAAAUUAGCCAGUAAUCCAGCCGCGCAACUCUCAGGCCCCUCUCGGUCUUACGCUUUUAUGAGUUUUUAGUUCAAAGUUCGUAUGUUCACAGAAAAAAAGGCAGUAUUUAAUGAGAAAAUAUGCGGAUUCAAAUGGACUGAAGUCUUUUGAGAACCGUUUUGUCUGAAGUACGAGUCGAUAGUAAAAUCUACCCGAGUGUUCGUGAAUCCCCCACUCGUCGCAACAGCUAAAAAGAGGACUAUAGAGGAGGACUAUAGAGGCUCUACACUACCAUUGUAUAUUCAUUCACGUCUAUAUUUAUGUAAAAAUCAUUCACUUGUGUCGACGAGUUCCUUGCUAGCAGAAAUUCGACAACUUCACAGUUUACAACAAAAGCGAACACGACCACAACAGAAAGCGAAAAAAAAAAAUCUGCCAAGGUAAAACCAACGAAUGACUACCUGAGGGCCAUGAUUGAUUCUAAAGGCUGGAAGGCAUAAUAAUAGGCAAAUGUCUUAAGAUAAUAUAGUAGGGGAUUUCUUACUUUUAUACAACAGUAUAAGUGUAAUGGGUUUUUUCAGAGCAAGAUACUUGCUCUCCAUGAUAAAUCUUGUAAAGAAAACAUUUAGCUAUCAACCUAAAGAUAAUGGGGAAAGGGGAAAUGUUAGGAGAGUGUUGUUGCAUUAAUGUUAAUUUUUUUUUAUCAAAGAUAUACUCCCAUUUCUUCCUUUUUUCUCUCUGCUGACUAUUUUUGUAUGCAAUUGAUAUUAUUUGCUGUUUCCCCUCUGCACCCCAAAUAAAUUAAAAUAUGUUAGGUUUGAAAUAAGACAUUUUCUUUUAGCACUGCUUUCAGUAAUAUCAAGGAUUUAAAUUUGUUCUUCUCCAUUGCAUUUAAUUUUGGAGUAGCAUUAGCAUGUGUGGAUCCAGGGUUUCUAUAAAACAGCAGGCCACCUUACAAAAGGGUGGGUGCACCAAUGUAUAAUGCAUUACUGUAAUAUCCUUGGUGAUGGAGUAUUACCAAUAUGUGAUAGACAAAACUUCCAUAUGGCACUUGAAAUGUAUAACUAUAUCAUGAUAUCUUUGAAAUGCUGUUUCAUUCAUUAUUUGUUUCUUCGCAAGGGCAAAGCUGGUCAGAAUGUAGCUUUGAUACUCGUUCUAUACUUCUAUAAAGGGAAGAGGUUUUUAUUAGAUCAAGGUACUUAAAUUAUAUAAAGAUAACAACAAACUUGUGCUUUUUCGAAAAUAAAUUUGAUAUAAAACA